AACAAAGUGUCCCUGCAGCCACAGCAGACAACGAGCCUUGAGCAGAAGCUUUGCCGCAUGCACCCCUCUCUUCACUCAACAAACCUGGAGGGGAUGCGGAUGUGGUGGUGGAGUCUGAAAGGGGAGAGGCACUUCCAGGCUUUGGCUCCAACCAGCCCUGAGAACUCAGCAGACUCCCUGGGGCGCCCAGAAGAGCUGAUGGGUCUUUCGGGGGACAGAAGGUUUGCAGGCUCUCCCUAGGACAAGAACAGAAGAUAGCGAAAGAGAAAAGAGGCCUGAGGAGAGGAGAGUGAAACCUGGAUGGAAAAGAGGAGGAGGAAGAGAAGAGAAGAGAAGAAGGAGGUGGAGAUGGACCUGUGAGAAGCUGCAGGAAGGUGCAGAAGGUCAGGAAAUCCAGGUGUGUGUCAGGCUCAACUGUUCAUCCUUCCCAACUUGCACACUGUUCUAAGUCAGUGCAACUGGAUGGCAAGGGGCGGUGAGGGAUGGUGCUCCCCAGGGCUUGGAAGGCAAUCCAUGGCAGCUCCUCAGACCCCCAUCGAGCCCUGCUGUGUGGCACAGGGGCACAGUGCACCUCUGCAGGGACACGCACAGGACAUUCCCCAUGGGGAUAAGGCGUCAGAGCCACCCUGGAGCCAGUAUCAGCAGUAGCUCUCUCCUCUGGGCCAUAAACAGUUCCUCAUCAAUGGUGUUCCCCAAAGAAAGGGGAACAAAAUCCUGCCUCUUUCUGCCUUGAUGGAUUUCUCACAGCUUUCUGACUCUAUUGUUG